ensembl:lncRNA
AGCGUCAUCAUUGCCACCUCCUUGGUGUUUGUGUCGAUAGGACAGUGCUUUCCAGAGCCGUCAUUAAUCAGGCAGGAUGAUGAACAACUAAGAGCCAUGCGAUUACCGCUCGAUGUAGGUCUUAUUUACAUUUGGAUUGUGAGCACGUGAACGCCUAUAGUCUCUUUGUCCACGGCUGGUACCCCUCCGCGCGUCGCUGGUUACGACGCUCAGGCGGCUGCAGGAGCAUCUCCUCUCCUCAUUGUAAAGGCGCCACUGAAAGAAGAUACAAAUCUGCCAUAUCAUAUUGCAUCUUACACGGGGGGACGUCACAAGACGCGAGGCCAACUUCUGCCUAUUCGAAAUGGGCAGUUUGGUGGUGGGCACUGAAACACACACACGCGCGCGCAAGCGAGCGUACACAAGCCCUCGUAGCCGUAGACUCCCGUAGCCACGCAACCGCCGCUCACGUAAAAGAGGAGAGAAUGCAUCUUUCUUUUAAGGGUGUGUGUCUCAGUGUUUCCCCCUCGAGUUCCUGCCUUGGGGCGAUGCCAUGGUGGUUUCUUUCAGAGGAAGGCGGUUUUAUAAUUUCUUAGUGGUUUUUAGGGGUUGGUCAGUAGCAUCGCUGGUGCUGAGGAGACCCAUGUGUGGUUGUUCGCUGUCAAUACAAACAUGUCCCCGGCAUCCGAGGCAUCCGCGGCCAGCGAGAGCAGCAACACCGACACAGUCCCCGAGGAAGAACCCACGGCGGAAAACCCACGAGAGGAGAGUGCACAUCACAGUGACGUAUGGCCCGCCCGUGCUGCCAUAACCCAUCCGAGGAGGGGUGUGUGUUUAUGUGUGUGUGUGUGUGUGUGUGUGUGUGUGUGUGUGUGUGUGUGUGUGUGUGUGUGUGUGUGUGUGUGUGUGUGUGUGUGUGCGUGUGUGCCUUCUUAACAACAUUAACAAGUUGUAUGGAAAUUGCAUUCGUAUAUGUAUUUUUUUCUCAUGGAAAAUGAGUUUAUUUUCCAUGAACUCGUGUCCCACACAUCGGAUGGUUGCAAGCACACGUG